rnacentral:rRNA from 1 species
GUUGAUCAACCCCAGAGGAAGUCACGGCUAACUUCGUGCCAGCAGCCGCGGUAAUACGAAGGUGGCAAGCGUUAUUCGGAAUCAUUGGGCUUAAAGGGCACGCAGGCGGAACAGUGUGUGUUGUGUGAAAUCCCCCGGCUUAACCGGGGAAUUGCACAGCAAACUGCUGUUCUUGAGGCAGGUAGGGGUGCAUGGAACUCUUGGUGGAGCGGUGGAAUGCGUAGAUAUCAAGAGGAACGCCAGAGGUGAAGACGGUGCACUGGGCCUGUCCUGACGCUGAGGUGCGAAAGCGUGGGGAGCGAACGGGAUUAGAUACCCCGGUAGUCCACGCCGUAAACGAUGUCUACUAGGUCGUGGGUGUUCUGACACAUUCACGGCCGGAGCAAAAGUGUUUAGUAGACCGCCUGGGGAGUACGGCCGCAAGGUUAAAACUCAAAUGAAUUGACGGGGGCUCACACAAGCGGUGGAGCAUGUGGAUUAAUUCGAAGCAACGCGCAGAACCUUACCUGGGUUUGACAUGCUUGUAUGCCUUCUCUGAAAGGAGUUAGGCUGCCUUCGGGUGAAACUUGCACAGGUGCUGCAUGGCUGUCGUCAGCUCGUGUCGUGAGAUGUCGGGUUAAGUCCUUUAACGAGCGAAACCCUUGCCGUUAGUUGCCAGCGAGUAAUGUCGGGGACUCUAACGGGACUGCCGGUGUUAAACCGGAGGAAGGUGGGGAUGACGUCAAGUCCUCAUGGCCUUUAUGCCCAGGGCUUCACACGUGCUACAAUGGCAAUUACAGAGCGACGCGAUACCGCGAGGUGGAGCAAAUCGCAAAAAAAUUGCCUCAGUUCGGAUUGCAGGCUGGCAAUUCGCCUGCAUGAAGUCGGAAUCGCU